GUGCUCAUGUUAGCAGCACAUAUUCUAAAACUGAAAUGAUAUAGAGAGGAUUAGCAUGACCUCUGUCCAAGAACGACAGAUAGAUUUGUGAAGCAUUCCAGAUUUUA